rnacentral:rRNA from 1 species
UACGGAGGAUGCAAGCGUUGUCCGGAAUUAUUGGGCGUAAAGAGCUCGUAGGCGGUCUGUCGCGUCUGCUGUGAAAAUCCAGGGCUCAACCCUGGACCUGCAGUGGGUACGGGCAGACUAGAGUGCGGUAGGGGAGAUCGGAAUUCCUGGUGUAGCGGUGAAAUGCGCAGAUAUCAGGAGGAACACCGAUGGCGAAGGCAGGUCUCUGGGCUGACACUGACGCUCAUGCACGAAAGCGUGGGGAGCAAACAGG